rnacentral:snRNA from 1 species
CCUAGGACACCAGAAUAU